rnacentral:rRNA from 1 species
UGGCUCAGGAUUUACGCUAGCGGCAGGCUUAACACAUGCAAGUCGAGGGGCAUCGGGAGGGAAGCUUGCUUUCCUUGCCGGCGACCGGCGCACGGGUGAGUAACACGUAUGCAACCUGCCCUCUUCAGGGGGACAACCUUCCGAAGGGAGGCUAAUCCCGCGUAUAUCGGUUUCGGGCAUCCGAGAUCGAGGAAAGAUUCAUCGGAAGAGGAUGGGCAUGCGGCGCAUUAGCUAGACGGCGGGGUAACGGCCCACCGUGGCGACGAUGCGUAGGGGUUCUGAGAGGAAGGUCCCCCACACUGGUACUGAGACACGGACCAGACUCCUACGGGAGGCAGCAGUGAGGAAUAUUGGUCAAUGAGAGAGAUCCUGAACCAGCCAAGCCGCGUGAGGGAAGACGGCCCUAUGGGUUGUAAACCUCUUUUGUCGGAGAACAAAACCCGGGACGUGUCCCGGACUGCGUGUAUCCGAAGAAAAAGCAUCGGCUAACUCCGUGCCAGCAGCCGCGGUAAUACGGAGGAUGCGAGCGUUAUCCGGAUUUAUUGGGUUUAAAGGGUGCGUAGGCGGUCCGUUAAGUCAGCGGUAAAAUUGCGGGGCUCAACCCCGUCGAGCCGUUGAAACUGGCAGACUUGAGUUGGCGAGAAGUACGCGGAAUGCGCGGUGUAGCGGUGAAAUGCAUAGAUAUCGCGCAGAACUCCGAUUGCGAAGGCAGCGUACCGGCGCCAGACUGACGCUGAGGCACGAAAGCGUGGGGAUCGAACAGGAUUAGAUACCCUGGUAGUCCACGCAGUAAACGAUGAAUGCUGGUUGUCCGGGUCGAAUGAGAUCUGGGCGGCGAAGCGAAAGCGAUAAGCAUUCCACCUGGGGAGUACGCCGGCAACGGUGAAACUCAAAGGAAUUGACGGGGGCCCGCACAAGCGGAGGAACAUGUGGUUUAAUUCGAUGAUACGCGAGGAACCUUACCCGGGCUCAAACGGGAGUGGAAUGGACCAGAGACGGUUCAGCCUACGGGCCGCUUCCGAGGUGCUGCAUGGUUGUCGUCAGCUCGUGCCGUGAGGUGUCGGCUUAAGUGCCAUAACGAGCGCAACCCCCGCCGGCAGUUGCUAACGGGCAAUGCCGAGGACUCUGCCGGGACUGCCGCCGCAAGGCGUGAGGAAGGCGGGGAUGACGUCAAAUCAGCACGGCCCUUACGUCCGGGGCGACACACGUGUUACAAUGGGCGGUACAGCGGGAAGCCAGGCGGCGACGCCGAGCGGAACCCGAAAGCCGUUCUCAGUUCGGAUCGGAGUCUGCAACCCGACUCCGUGAAGCUGGAUUCGCUAGUAAUCGCGCAUCAGCCAUGGCGCGGUGAAUACGUUCCCGGGCCUUGUACACACCGCCCGUCAAGCCAUGGGAGCCGGGGGUGCUUGAAGUGCGUCGCCGUGAGGCGCGCCCUAGAGCAAAACCGGUGACUGGGGCUAAGUCGUAACAA